UGACUCGGAGUCAAUGGGUGGAAAUCAUUUCUGAAAACAAUCUUCUCUCUUACAGUGCUUGUCCAAGUGACUGCUGUACGCCUCACUGACUUGUGAUACUCAUCGUGGUGACCGUCCUACAUUGACCUGUGUAGACACUCGCUCUCCAGGCAGAUAUUUCUUCUCAAGAACUGGUCUGUCCUGGGAGAGAGGAAGCUGUGUGCCUUGGGUGUGUUGGUCUCACCCCCACCAAAUUCUCGGUGUUGGUUUGAAAAAACCUCACCUUGAACUGAAAUAAAUCUCUCUUGGUUUGGGUUUUCUUUAAACCUCACCUUGCCAGAAAUCUUUUCUUGAAAUACGAGAAUUAUAAAUCAACUUGAAAUACCAGAAUUAUAACAACAACUUGAAAG